AGAGUUUGAUCCUGGCUCAGGAUGAUUUCUAGCUACAGGCUUAACACAUGCAAGUCGAGGGGCAGCAUUUCAGUUUGCUUGCAAACUGGAGAUGGCGACCGGCGCACGGGUGAGUAACACGUAUCCAACCUGCCGAUAACUCGGGGAUAGCCUUUCGAAAGAAAGAUUAAUACCCGAUGGUAUAAUCAGACCGCAUGGUCUUGUUAUUAAAGAAUUUCGGUUAUCGAUGGGGAUGCGUUCCAUUAGGCAGUUGGUGAGGUAACGGCUCACCAAACCUUCGAUGGAUAGGGGUUCUGAGAGGAAGGUCCCCCACAUUGGAACUGAGACACGGUCCAAACUCCUACGGGAGGCAGCAGUGAGGAAUAUUGGUCAAUGGGCGCAGGCCUGAACCAGCCAAGUAGCGUGAAGGAUGACUGCCCUAUGGGUUGUAAACUUCUUUUAUAUGGGAAUAAAGUUUUCCACGUGUGGAAUUUUGUAUGUACCAUAUGAAUAAGGAUCGGCUAACUCCGUGCCAGCAGCCGCGGUAAUACGGAGGAUCCGAGCGUUAUCCGGAUUUAUUGGGUUUAAAGGGAGCGUAGGUGGACAGUUAAGUCAGUUGUGAAAGUUUGCGGCUCAACCGUAAAAUUGCAGUUGAUACUGGCUGUCUUGAGUACAGUAGAGGUGGGCGGAAUUCGUGGUGUAGCGGUGAAAUGCUUAGAUAUCACGAAGAACUCCGAUUGCGAAGGCAGCUCACUGGACUGCAACUGACACUGAUGCUCGAAAGUGUGGGUAUCAAACAGGAUUAGAUACCCUGGUAGUCCACACAGUAAACGAUGAAUACUCGCUGUUUGCGAAUAUACAGUAAGCGGCCAAGCGAAAGCAUUAAGUAUUCCACCUGGGGAGUACGCCGGCAACGGUGAAACUCAAAGGAAUAGACGGGGGCCCGCACAAGCGGAGGAACAUGUGGUUUAAUUCGAUGAUACGCGAGGAACCUUACCCGGGCUUAAAUUGCAUUUGAAUAUAUUGGAAGCAGUAUAGCCGUAAGGCAAAUGUGAAGGUGCUGCAUGGUUGUCGUCAGCUCGUGCCGUGAGGUGUCGGCUUAAGUGCCAUAACGAGCGCAACCCUUAUCUUUAGUUACUAACAGGUCAUGCUGAGGACUCUAGAGAGACUGCCGUCGUAAGAUGUGAGGAAGGUGGGGAUGACGUCAAAUCAGCACGGCCCUUACGUCCGGGGCUACACACGUGUUACAAUGGGGGGUACAGAAGGCAGCUACCUGGUGACAGGAUGCUAAUCCCAAAAGCCUCUCUCAGUUCGGAUCGAAGUCUGCAACCCGACUUAGAGAAGCUGGAUUCGCUAGUAAUCGCGCAUCAGCCAUGGCGCGGUGAAUACGUUCCCGGGCCU
rnacentral:rRNA from 1 species